AAUUGAAAGAACUAACAAACAAAGGCUUUGAUACUCACGUAGUAUUCACUAUUCUCCCCUUCAAAUUUGUAUCUCGUCUUCACCCAAAAAUGAAGAAGCCACCACCGCAGCAUUACACAUCAAACAGACGAAAUCAAAAAGGUUGUGAUGGCCAUUGAUGGAGCAGCAUAGGAAUGCGACAGCUUUGUCUGGGUCUGGGCUAACUGCCCUACUAGAUAGAAUCCUCUUGGAAACUUCGUCUGCUCCUAAGUAACACAAAUACACCUCUUAAGUUACUUCCAAAAAUCAAAACAAAUUUAGAUUAGGAUUUCUAGAAAUUUCAGCUGACGUUUUUGUGUGACCUAGGUGCUUGUGGCAAUAGAGAUCAAAUGGGUCAAUCCAAUAAUGUUAACUUCCCUUGUCAAAUCAUAGUAAUAAUCUUCAAGAUAUUGAUGCCUUCCCCAGAUCCAAUUCUUUGCUGCUAUCUCUUUUGCAGACAACAGUAAAAUAAUGCUUCAACUCAAGAGGUUGUGGUGACUGCUACUUAGUUCUAAUAUAGGACAGUGUAACAUUGGUAGAUUUAAGGCAGUCUCUCCCUGCCUUGAUUGACGUUUGAACCGGACGAUUUGUUCAUUAAAUUUUUAUGUAAUAAUAGCUAUUAUCAUGAUAUAAAAAAAAUUUAUUUCAUUUUU